UACGGGGGGGGUAAGCGUUGUUCGGAAUUACUGGGCGUAAAGGGCUUGUAGGCGGCCAACUAAGUCGGACGUGAAAUCCCUCAGCUUAACUGGGGAACUGCGUCCGAUACUGGAUGGCUUGGAUUUGGGAGAGGGAUGCGGAAUUCCAGGUGUAGCGGUGAAAUGCGUAGAUAUCUGGAGGAACACCGGUGGCGAAGGCGGCAUCCUGGACCAAUAUUGACGCUGAGGAGCGAAAGCCAGGGGAGCAAACGGG
rnacentral:rRNA from 1 species